CGGACGGGUGAGUAACACGUGGAUAACCUACCUAUAAGACUAGGAUAACUUCGGGAAACCGGAGCUAAUACCGGAUAAUAUAUUGAACCGCAUGGUUCAAUAGUGAAAGACGGUUUUGCUGUCACUUAUGGAUGGAUCCGCGCCGCAUUAGCUAGUUGGUAAGGUAACGGCUUACCAAGGCAACGAUGCGUAGCCGACCUGAGAGGGUGAUCGGCCACACUGGAACUGAGACACGGUCCAG
rnacentral:rRNA from 1 species